GUCACAACAGUUAUAAAAAAAAAAUCACAGUUCACGGGACCCAACGAUUGAAAAACAAAAUGUAUAGUAAGACUCGCAGGUGUUUUCAGGACAUGAAAACAUACAUUUAAUAAUUAUCUGUAGAGAAUGAAAUAUACAUAGGAAAUGAACAUAUUGACGCAAUAAGUUUUCCCAAUAUUAAUAAUGCUCCACAGUCCUGCUUGGAG